AGCUGCCCGGAGAUCCCAGAGACCAGCAGGGCGCCGUGUGAGUCUUAGGCUGAGUGCUGAGCUGUGCGUGCGCUGAGAACCCACGAAUCCAGACAAAGAUACGAGGGAGGAGCAGCAGCCCUGGGCAGCGUUGGAGAUUACAGAGAACCGGAAGUCAGACUUCUAAACAGUUAUCGUGGGGAUACAUACAGUGUGGAUCCGCCUCAAAAACUUUGUGGCUAUAGGUUCACUUUGGGCAACUGAAACCUCAGAAAGCAAUGCAGCAUCAAUGAUGGCUCUGCUCUAAUCAAAUAGGUACCCAUGGAGCCUUCCCCACAAUGUGACAGGGCUGUUGGGAGAAGAAAUAAACUUCUUCAGGUGUGUCAUGGAUGAGGAGACUUUCACUUGGGGUUUCCCCACCCGGCCCCCACCACGGCAUGGUCAUCUCUGUCCUCUGCCCCCUCAAGAGAGUGGCAUGACUCAGUGGCCUUGUCUAGACUCCCUGGAGGAAGAUAAACGCCCGGCCCAGAAUGACUACCCCCAUCUUCAGCGCAGGAUAACAGCGUGCAGUAUCACACCUUGGUUUCUACUGUGAUGGGAUGGGGCCCAGAGUCCCCUGCCGGCAGUAAACAAGCUACGUCCACAGCCCAAGUAUUUGAAGAUUUCAAACAUUAAAAGUUAAUGGAAGUCAUCUGACUGUCACGCU
rnacentral:lncRNA from 1 species